CAGGAGGUGGGGGGGGAUCCCUCAGCCCAGAUUGCGAGAGGGUGCAGGCCAGGCCGAGGGACCCCACCAGUGCAUG
rnacentral:pre_miRNA from 1 species